rnacentral:rRNA from 1 species
CAAGGAAUUUUCCCCAAUGGGCGCAAGCCUGAGGGAGCAACGCCGCGUGCAGGACGACGGCCUUCGGGUUGUAAACUGCUUUUGCGUGGGCCGAUAACGACGGUACCACGCGAAUCAGCCCCGGCUAACACUCAGCCAGCAGCCGCGGUAAAUCAGAGGGGGCAAGCGUUGUCCGGACUUACUGGGCGUAAAGCGCACGCAGGUGGUAACGCAAGUGGGGUGUGAAAGCCGCCAGCUCAACUGGCGGAGGCCAUCCCAAACUGCGUCACUUGAGGCCUGUAGAGGUAUGUGGAAUUGCCGGUGUAGUGGUGAAAUGCGUAGAGAUCGGCAGGAACACCCAGGGGGAAACCAGCAUACUGGACAGGACCUGACACUCAGGAGCGACAGCGUGGGGAGCGAACCGGAUUAGAUACCCCUGUAGUCC